AUACCUUUCUCGGCCUUUUGGCUAAGAUCAAGUGUAGUAUCUGUUCUUAUCAGUUUAAUAUCUGAUACGUGGGUCAUUGGUCCACAUGAUAUUAAAUUUAUUUUUCGAGGGGGAGGGUCCAUAACAGCAGCUUGCUGCUGGGGCUCUCGUGUGUCGCCUAAGUGUUGCACUAUUGCUCGGGCCUGGUUCACCCCAC